UGGUGAUGGCUCCUCGGCGGACUUCGCGGAAUAAGGAGACCACCUCGGCGUGGACCAAACCCUCGACUUUUCUUCCAUUUAUGGCAAUAAUCUCAUCACCUGGGCAAGACAAAAGAAGAAGAAAAAAAUAAAGGAAGAAGAAAAACUAAAAACUACUUUUCAAGACUCGGACGGGCUUUGAGUUAUUCUUCUUUUGGUGGCAGCUGUAAGGAGCAGCCAGUCCAUGUGUGUUGUUGUGUGUAGGUGGAACAUUCUUUUGAUAAAAGGGAGGGGUCGCACGGACGGAUGGAUGGAUGGAAUUGAAAUGAAAUGUGAUUAUAGUCAGACACACAAGGUCGGUCGGGCAACGCGCAUACCUUCUCUCAGAGUGGCUUCCUCAGCUGCUUGUCCGCCCGGAUAAAUCGUUUUCACGAAAAUGCCCAGUUUGCCUUUGGGCGAGUCCUCGCCGCCGACGAUGCUGAAGCCCAGGCCCUUCCUGCUGCCGGACUUGGUGCCGGCCCCACCUUUCUGGAAGGUGACGGUGAAGAUGGAGUAGGUCGACGGGCGGAUGUGCUUCGGCAGUGGCACAUCCGUCGACGAGUACAGCGGCUCGGCCGGCUGCUGCAACGACGAGCUGCACGAAGACGAGAACGACGUUUCCUUGUUGUCCGAGUCGUCCGGCACGGAAGCCGCCCGGUUGGUGCUGAUGCGCCUCGUCUGCAAGCGGAGGGCGCCCAUCGUCUCCGUGAUGGGCCUAGUGGCAGCCGCCGCCACCUCCUUCAGUACCUGCACCUUGGCGUCCACCUGGUCUUGUCCAGCUGGCGAGAAAACUGUGUCAUCGUCCUCUUCAUCCGCAUCUUCUUCUUCUUCCUCCUCCUCUUCGUGGUGGCAGCGCUGAUCCGUCAGCAAAGGUUGGGACAGGGCAUGACUUAGGGAAACCUUUCGAUUGGCCGUUUUGGAACCGGCAAUGGAUGCCACCGCCGGCUUGUUGUUUAAUCGCUGAUGGCGGAGCAACGUGCUGGCCGACUGGGUCUGGAAGCUGGCCAAAUCCUGGGUGCCGUGCAAACUAACGGCCCGCCUGGUGCGUGGCUGCAGGGGAAAUUGCUGGAAAUGCUGCUCGAGCGACUGGAACACGUCCUGGUUGUUGUGGCCAGCAGCCCGCUGACCGAGAUCCACUUCAUCCUCCUCAAUCGGAUGAUCGGCCUCCUCUUCCUCUUCGUCGUCGCCCGUGCUGCUGCCCGGAGGUGGCGGAGGACGGAAGUGGAUGGGCACCGGCAAUCGACUGACGCAUUCACCCCCGCCGUCGUCCUGGCAACGGGAGAUGAGGAACGCCGAGUCGGAAGAGCCGAAAUGUUUGCUGGAGCUGAGUCGGUUGUUGUUGUUGUGGUUGGUGCUGCUCUUCCGCCUAUUCCGCUCACAUGUCGUAGGGUCAACCGGCGCCGACGACGACGACGAGGACAGGCCGAGUUUUUUGGCCAGGGUUGUCGUCACGUGACUGGCGUGCGCCAACCAGAGACCCGAUCGAAUCGCCUUUUUGGUUGUUGGAAUCGGUUGUUGUUGUUGUUGAUUUGGGGGGCGAGGCGGCAAUGGUGGGACCCUGGGACUGAGCUGCGGUGACGGCGGCGUCGUGCGGCUUUGUUGUUCGUGUUUAGAACCACUGCGUCGACGGCGUCGUUUCUCCCACGGUGCGGCGUGAAUGAGGACAGAACGAAUUUGGCGACGCCAUCCGCCGCCAGGAGCCGAGUCGCUUUUGGCCGGACCAGCUGGCGACGCCGAUUUGGAGGUGGUGGCCAGCAGAGAAGAUUUGAGACACUCGACGCUUUUGGCGGCCGGUGCGGACGUGGUCAAUUUGCCGCGCAAACUGCCCACCCGAGUGAAAGUGAGUCGAUUGGACGUGAAUCCGCCGCAGUCGUCGUCGUCGUCGUCGCCCUCGUCGUCACUGGACACGCCGACGCCCACGUCGCGGGAACUGCAAUGCGACGAAUUCAAUUUCAUGUUGAAUUUACCGGCACUGCCGCCGGAGUAGACGGUGAAGCGACUCUUGUCGUGGACGCUAAUGGAGCGCCGGAUGCGGCCCAAACCGCGUGACUCACGACUCUCGUGCCCUUCCGCCCGGCCCGCCCGCCCGCCUCUCUUCGUGGUCGAUCCGCCCGAUUUCGACGACGACGAGCCGCUGCUGAAGGAGAGCGAGCGACGCUUGCUGCUGCUGCUGCUGCUGCCGCCCGUCGUCAGCUGAUGGGCGUUGUGACGCAAUCCCUGCAGUUUGUGCCUCAGGACGCUAAACGACCAGACAGUGCGGUGGUGGUCCGGCGACGGGGAAUCACGAUGAUGGUGGCGGACCAUGGCGUCGUCGUCUGUGCAGCAUCCGACGUCGUCAUCGUCGACUUCACUGGACUCGGCUGAAUGCGAGUCGUUGUCGUUGUCGUCACAGGCCAGCGAAGAGUUGAAGCACGGCUGCUUGAGCAUGCUGGCCCAGCGCUCGGAAGAGACUGGCACCGAUUCGGCUACGAUCGGCGACAUGGCCGUCCUGUUUUUAUCGAUUCAACACGGAACAAAAGAAAAGCAAAAGUCAGUCGACAGUUUUUGUUUUUCCAGGGGGAAAAGAAGAAAUGAAAUGAAAAAAGUUUCAAGUAUCGUGAAAUGGGAGGAAUUGUAACACGACAUUGCGCUCACGUUGCUCAACGCGGGAAUGAAAAACGAUACCCCCCUCCUAGCUGGAAAAGAAUAAAAGAGUCGAGAUUGAAGGGAGAACAAAUAACGAGCGGAGCAGAGGACAUACCCGGACACAGAAUGAGACACGAAAUGUGCGUUUCUUUCUAUUUGGAUGUUAGUGACGACGAGGCCACCCAACUGGUUACUCUUAUUAUUACUUUUAAGAAGGAGAUGCCACUCUAGUCAGUGUCUAGUCAGCUCAGACAAUGCGGAUGGACGUGAUCAAAGUGCGAGUGAGCUUCUGUCUCACGAAGAUGGGCUAGAGCUGCAGCCUCCACUGUUCAUCGACGAUGUCGCGUCACUCACUUGCACACGAAUGCACUGCCCGGCUGUUGUUCAAAAAAAGCUUCCCUCUCUCUGUCUCUCUGAUUCCUAUAGCUCCGUUUUCACGUUUUCUUUCUAGCGCCCUUGUUAGAUUUUCGACAUGAGUGAACAAGCGCCUUAAGGAGCGAAUGGGGGGAGGUCGUCCACGAUUUUUUCGUUUUACGAUAGGACGACGACACAAUCGAGACGACCAGCAUAUCAGACUUUUAGCACGUUUCGUCCAUCACCUGAUUGUGGCUGCUGCUGUCGCGGCCGCCCCUUUACGGAUCCUCGUCCCAAUGUUUUAUGGCCGUCGCUGCUGCUCACUUGUACUGGAAACCCAACCGGAGGAGCAGGAGCACCUCACAGAUGACUGAAACUAGGAGCCCACGACCACAACACGUCCAAAGGUCAUGCCUCGCUCGAAUCGAACUGAAUACUGAACCUCCUGGCUUGUAGACUUGUGGGUUUUUCGUGUCUAAAGC